CAGCCCCCUGAGUGGUAAGGACGAUUAUUUGGCUUAAAGCGUCCGUAGCCGGCUUAGUGAGUCUUUUGUUAAAUCCAAUGAUUCAAUCAUUGAACUGCAAGAGAUACUGCUAUGCUAGAGGACGGGAGAGGUCGACGGUAGUCCAGGGGUAGGGGUGAAAUCCUAUAAUCCUUGGAGGACCACCAGUGGCGAAGGCGGUCGACUAGAACGUGCCUGACGGUGAGGGACGAAAGCUGGGGGAGCGAACCGGAUUAGAUACCCGGGUAGUCCCAGCUGUAAACAAUGCGGGCUAGGUGUAGGGGCAGCUACGAGCUGCUCCCUGUGCCGCAGAGAAAUUGUUAAGCCCGCGCCUGGGGAUACGAUCGCAAGAUUG
rnacentral:rRNA from 1 species